rnacentral:sRNA from 1 species
AAAAAUAAAGAAGAAGUGUCGAGAAGCCUCUGUUUCAAGUAGAAUUUUACAAUGUCGUUUAUUUGUAUUAAGCGAUGUCGUUAUUAAACUCAGUUGUAUUUAAAUGGAUCCCAAACUUUAGAGUUUCCUUAUCUUAUGAAAAUCAUAUUAUUCUCCUACUCUAACUUUCUUCCGUCUCUUACCUUAUUCUCUUCUCAUCGAAUUCCAUUUCUGUUCUAAUUUAGGCUUCGAGCUUAACAUCUCACCUUUCCUCCUCCUCCUCCUCCUCAUCCUCAUCCUCCUCCUCAUCCUCAUCCUCCUCCUCCACCACCGCUACUUCCACCGCUUCCUCCGGUGAGCCCAUAGAUUUUGUAAUUUAGAAUUUUUUCUUUUUUUUUCUAAACCAUUAUUUUUGUUUAAGUAAAAUUAAGGUGUACUAGAGCCAAUUUUGAGAUAAGAUGUGUGUUUUUUAAUAUAUAGUUUGCUAAUAAAUAUUUAAUAAACUUUCUUUU